GCAAAAUGUUUAAUAUUUAAUACUCUUUAAAUUAAUUUGUGAACAUGUGCAAGUAUUCAUCGACAGCAUUAGAAAAUAUGAAAACUUUACUUGCGUGCGGGUACUUGCGCAUAUGCAAUCCGAACAGCUUUGAGUAUGCAAACUAUCACUUAUUUCUUAAUGACUUUAUUUUAAUUGCAAAACUGUAUUUAAUAAAUAUCAUUGUUAUUUGUAUUAUAUAAAAUGUAUGUAUGGAUAAAUUAUUUGUUGUCCACAAUUAAACAGGUUUGUCAAAACUUUUCCUUCCAUUUUCGUUCAUUUUCGAAAUUUUACUGGUAAAUGUUGUUAUUAACAAUCCAAAGAUCAACCAUUUACUACACAGGUUAGCAACACAACAGAACACAACAUUGCAAUCAGCCACAGCGACGUCGGCAACACUGCUACAGUGUAAAAGUAAUACAAAGAGCAGCCGACACAACGUAUACCUAACCCCUAAAAGCGACAUACAAACCAUAGUCACAGCUAAAGUCAAUGGUUAUUCUGCACAAAAUAUAUCGCCUAAUGACAACAAGCAGGAAGUAUAAGUAGAAGAAGGGAUUACAAGUCAUACCCUUACAUUGAGCAAAAAUAUACAUACAUAUAAAUAUGAAUUAAGCACAGCUACCGUAACCAAAUAUACAGCAAUAGCAGAAACACCAGCUACAUAUAAUAAUAGAAAUAAUAAAACAGCAACAGAAGCAGCAAUAAUAACUUCAAUGAAGCUGUGCCAAAAGCAACUUGAAUCUUCUUUGUGCUCCAUAUCACGCAGCCUUCUCCACUACUCCAGUUUGUAACAUUUUGGCUGAAUCCGGACUUCCUGACCUCACCGAACGGGUGGAAUAUAUGACCGCUGGACUUAUAUACAAAGUUUCAUCCUGCAACAACUCCAACCUGUAUAAAAAUGUACUCAAUGCUAUAAAUAGGAAACGCUUCCCAAAGAGGCUCUCGGCACUACAUGGCGAGGUUCUCUGUCUAGAGAAAUGUAUAUACCGGUUAAACCCACUCGGCAAGCUCA